rnacentral:rRNA from 1 species
UACGGGGAGGGCAAGCGUUGUUCGGAAUUACUGGGCGUAAAGGGCUCGUAGGCGGCCAACUAAGUCAGACGUGAAAUCCCUCGGCUUAACCGGGGAACUGCAUCUGAUACUGGAUGGCUUGAGUUCGGGAGAGGGAUGCGGAAUUCCAGGUGUAGCGGUGAAAUGCGUAGAUAUCUGGAGGAACACCGGUGGCGAAGGCGGCAUCCUGGACCGACACUGACGCUGAGGAGUGAAAGCCAGGGGAGCAAACGGG